GGUGGUUUUACUACUUAGUGGAAAGUCCAACUCUGAAAGUGCCGGGAGAUCUUGGAUGGUUAUGCUGCAGACAGAGAACCUCUCUUUUUCACAGCUCUCAAGAACAUUCCCUACAAAUUAUUACAAUCUCCAAGAAUUGGAGGCGCUGGAACUCCAACUGGAUACAGAUUAUGGAAAAGUUCGUAGCAUCCCUCACCCUUUGUCUACUCCGCUGGCAGUCAGUGCCUCAAGAGGAGUGGCUUGCGUCUUCUCAUCGCGGAGGCAUGCUUUGGUCUAUAUCCUCGAUGAGGACGAAGA